GUUGGAACCCUUAUGUCAUUGGAUGCUGAUCCUGGAUUGCCUUCAGAUCCUUCUCCAGAAUUUCCAUGGGGCAGAACACCGGCAGAUCUUGCGUCUGAUAAUGGACACAAAGGGAUCUCUGGUUUCCUCGCAGAGGCAGCAUUGACCAGCUAUGUCAAAUCUGUAUCAAUGGCUGAUUCCAUAUCAAUGGGUGAGGCUGUAGAAGAUGGUGUGGCAGACGUUUCAAAGAGGAAACCAGUGCAUACUGUUUCUGAACGAAGGGCAG
rnacentral:misc_RNA from 1 species